CCAUCCACCUGAGUAAUGCCGGCCUCCCAUGCGGAGAGCGAGAGCCCUCUAGUCCCACCCAGGCUGCCCCGCCUGAUUGGAGCGCACUGGCAACCUGAGGCGCUUGGCUCUGGCAUGGUGCCCAAUUGGAUGAGCCCACAUUAUGAAAUAUUUGCCUAGCAGGCCAAUGGAGGAGCCGGGAUCUGGGGGAGGGCAUGAUAUUUUUAUUUACUCCUGGAGGAGGGAGAACAAAGGUAGUCCUAGCAUCCUAAGCCCUGAGAUGGGAAGUGAGAGGAAGGGGCUUUCAGGCAGGAGUUUGGAGAGUGGAACCAGGAAUUGGAAGAGACACCAAGAAAAGAAACACCUUGACAGGCAGAGGGCUGCUUGGACCUACGUUAAGGAUGCCAGGCUCGAGUGGUCUUCUUCACAGGUCCUAGUGGGUGAGCUGGCUGCUCCCAGCCUUGCCAGCCUG